rnacentral:rRNA from 1 species
GAGUUUGAUCAUGGCUCAGGACGAACGCUGGCGGCGUGCUUAACACAUGCAAGUCGAACGGGAACCUUUAUUUCGGUAAAGGUGAGAGUGGCAAACGGGUGAGUAACACGUAGGCAACCUGCCGACAGGAUGGGGACAACAUUCCGAAAGGAAUGCUAAUACCGAAUGAAGUCACCGGAGGGCAUCCUCUGGUGAUGAAAGAUGGCCUCUGAAUAUGCUAUCACCUGUCGAUGGGCCUGCGUCUGAUUAGCCAGUUGGCGGGGUAACGGCCCACCAAAGCGACGAUCAGUAGCCGGUCUGAGAGGAUGAACGGCCACAUUGGGACUGAGACACGGCCCAGACUCCUACGGGAGGCAGCAGUGGGGAAUCUUCCACAAUGGGCGAAAGCCUGAUGGAGCAACGCCGCGUGAGUGAAGAAGGUCUUCGGAUCGUAAAGCUCUGUUGCACGGGACGAAAACCGAGCUUGAAAACAUUGAGUUUGGGUGACGGUACCGAGCGAGGAAGCCACGGCUAACUACGUGCCAGCAGCCGCGGUAAUACGUAGGUGGCGAGCGUUGUCCGGAAUUAUUGGGCGUAAAGGGAGCGCAGGCGGACAUAUAAGUCCAUCUUAAAAGUGCGGGGCUCAACCCCGUGAGGGGAUGGAAACUGUAUGCCUUGAGUGCAGGAGAGGAAAGCGGAAUUCCCAGUGUAGCGGUGAAAUGCGUAGAUAUUGGGAGGAACACCAGUGGCGAAGGCGGCUUUCUGGACUGUAACUGACGCUGAUGCUCGAAAGCCAGGGGAGCGAACGGGAUUAGAUACCCCGGUAGUCCUGGCCGUAAACGAUGAAUGCUAGCUGUAGGAUGUAUAGACCCCUCGUGUGCUGUAGUUACCGCAAUAAGCAUUCCGCAUGGGGAGUACGGUCGCAGGACUGGAACUGAAAGGAAUUGAUGGGGGCCCGCACAAGGGCUGGAGUAUGUGGUAUAAUUCGACGUUACGCGUUAGAACCUUACCAGGGCUUGACAUUGCGUGAAAGUGAUAGAGAUAGCUACCUCCCUUUGGGGACAUGAAAACAGGUAGAGCAUGGCUGUCGUCAGCUUGUGUCGUGAGAUGUUGGGUUAAGUCCCGCAACCAGUGCAACCCCUGUCCUUUGUUGCCAGCGCGUAAUGGCGGGAACUCAAAGGAGACUGCCGCGGAGAACGCGGAGGAAGGCGGGGAUGAGGUCAAGUCAUCAUCCCCCUUAUCUCCUGGGCUACACACGUACAUACAAUGGGAUGGACAGAGGGAAGCGAAGGCGCGAGCCGGAGCGGACCCCACAAACCAUCCCCCAGUUCGGAUUGCAGGCUGCAACCCGCCUGCAUGAAGUCGGAAUCGCUAGUAAUCGCAGGUCAGCAUACUGCGGUGAAUACGUUCCCGGGCCUUGUACACACCGCCCGUC